CAAAUCCCCUGGGGCUUAUUUAAUAUAGUUGCACCAAUCAUAUAAAUUGUUUGGAGGAAUUAAUUGACAUUGUGAUAAUACUCAGUCUUCAUUUCCAAGAUGAUGACAUCAAUCUCUGUUUACUCAAGUCUUCCUUCAUCUUUCAGCAAUGUUUUAACUCUACAGGCAAAAGGAGAGGUUUGGGUGAGCAGAGGUGGCAGAUGACUUCAUGCAGAGGCCUGCAGGUUACUCUCAGGACCUCUCCCACAGUCUAGCCCUCAGCCUUGAAAUGAUAGGCACUUGGUUUUGUUAAUAUGCCAAGAAUGGGUCUGUCACUCAGGAAGAAAUUUAAAUAAAACAUUCUCAGAAAUGUGAUGGAUAAAAUCAGAAUGUCAGUAGAUUGAUUUACAAAGAUAAAUAAAUGUAGAGGAAAUAGGCCCCUCAUGCAUUGUAACCAGAACAUUGCCUCCCUGUUGGUUCCCAUUCAGGGGAAGAAACACAGGAGCAGAAGAUGGCUUUGUGAGCCUGGAGUCAGAACAAAUGAUUUGAAUUAUGUAAUUUAAUUACUGAACAAAAUCAGGUUACACCAGUCUAAGUCCAUCCUUUCUAUAUAUGUACACCUGCAAGGUGGUAAGGAAAGCAGUUUUUUUUUGUUGUUGUUGUCUUUGUUUUUCUAUAUGGACUAUCUUUCUGUGUUUUGUUUUCCUUUACACAUUUGGGAAAUAUCAUCUUAAUAAAUACUAUGCUUUAACAUUUUUUAAUUUAAAAAUAUACUUAAGCUUCCCUCCUUUCUGCCACCUCCAUUAAAAUUAUAGUAAAAAACAAAACAGGCAUAGAGCCAGAAGAGCAAAGAAAGCAGCAAAGAGGUCCAUCCACUUAUGAGAGAACUGAAUAAAUAGCCAGAAGAUGGAAAACAAGGGAAAUAAAUGAUGACAAAGUAGAGAAAGAGACAGACCAACUACACGAAGAAGUUUGCUUCCAAGGAAAUCCUUCUCCAGUGACCAGAGGAAUGACCAGCUCCCCACCUUCUCACUGUCCAGCAGUCCCUGCUAACCCACAGAUUAGGUUCUUCAAUGCGGACACUGAGGUGAAGUUGGUGGUGCAAGAUGAGAGGAAGCUGGCUUACGGCACAGGGAGAAGCUGAACUUCGGUGCAACUCCCACAAACCUUAGCCAACUUGGUGGGGAGCUUUGGUGCCAAUAUUUCCUGUUGAAGUAGUCCUGUCUUGGACUUCUCAGCAUUGUACUAGGCCCUUAAGCACCCUCUUCAAUCAGUUAUUAGAUACAAGACAGCUCAGGAAGACCGUGGCAUUAGGACAGGCAGCUCUCUGCAGCUGAGGCAGCCCCGGUAGGAGCUGACAGCUGAAGAUUGUCUGGAAACUGUACCACCUACCACCAGGCAGUGAGUCCUUCUCCGAAAAAGGAUCUGGGUCAGAUGGAUGCUCAUUAACUUUCACGCACCUUUGUUUUCUCACAUACACAUCAAGUCUGUGAAUGUCCUUCUAAUCUCUGCUUUAUGUGUAUUACACAGUUCUGCGAUGUGUUUUUGUUAGUAUUCAGUACAAACACAUUUAAAAACAUUUGUCAUUAUGAUUUCUUUUUUGACACAUAGAUAUAGUUAGAUGUAUUUUUCUUAACUUCUAAAAUGUAUAGUUUUUGCCAGCUAUAUUUUUGUCAUCAGUAUUAGUUUAACUACAACAUGCUUAUAAAUAUAAUCGGCAUGAUUUCAUCAUUUUAAACUUUAUUGAGACUUGCUUUAUGUCCCAAUAGUCAAUUUUGUAAAUGAUAUUCUUCAAAAAAAUGUGUAUUCUGUAGUUGUUAGGUGUUCCUAUUCGAGAGGCUGUAACCAGGGUCUCCAACCACCAGAAAGGAAUGCUAUCUGCUAGUGGCUACUGUGGAUUAUUUUUUCAUUAUCCUCCUUUAAAAUGCAAAUAUCCUUUGGAGUGUUGAGUAAUGAACGUCUUAAAAUUGGGUAUGAGAAUGAACUGAAUUACCGAGGGAGUGGGAUUUGUGGGAAAGGACACACACACUCACACACACUCACACACACACCACUGUUUAUUGCAGGCUUAGUAACAUGCAAGUUUAUUGUGUUCACAUACAUUAUUUCACUGAAUCCCCACAAUAAUUCUGAGAGAAGGGUAUUCUACCCAUUUUAUACAUAGGAAGCUGAGGCUCAAAGAGUUUAAAGAGCUUGCUAAUAUUUGAACUCAGAGGUAUCUGAUACUGGAUUCCAUGCUCUUAAUUGCUAUGUGCCUGUCUCCCCAUAACUAGCCUCAGUUCCUUUAAUACACUAAUUUGGUCAUCUGAUUCACAAUGCAGUUAUCAUUACAUUUGUAAAGGUUUUCUCUGAUUCUAAUGGAUAUUGAAAAGAUAAGUGAUGGCAGAAUCACUUAUUCUUUAAUUUUUAAGCAUUAUCAGUGAAUCAUUAUGUAGACGGCUUAGGCUAUGAGCUCAAGAUUAUGUUAUGAGCUCAAGAAAUGCAAAGGUAAAGAAAACACAGUCCAGUCCAGUAAGAUUGGGAGACAGACAUGUGUACACACAAUGAGAAGUCAUGAAGGGAAGGUGGGCUGGCUGUGGAAUUAGUCACCUUGAAGUCUGUCUAAGGAGAGGGCUGGUAUCAGGGUGUGGACAUUUUACAUUUCUAUCACAGCAUUGUAGUUGAUCUUAGAGACUCCUACCGAAGUUUGGGGAGAAGAGAGGUAAUACAGGGAUUUAUUUUAAAUUUCUUCUUAUAAUUAGGUCAAUUCCAGAAUAUGAGGAAUGAAUGACAGUUCAAACACAGUGUCUGAAAAAGGUAACCACAUUUUGUAAAGAUUCCUUAAAUCAAUAGGUUGAAAUUCCAGUAAUAGAGCUCCAAAAUUUCAGGGGAGCCUAUCCUAUGGGAAAGCAGAGCCCUGUUGCUGGAAAUCCACUAAGCCAUUUACAAGGAGUAAAGAAGGGCUUUCUGAAAUGUUGACUUAGGGACACAGAGCUUAAACUCAGAGCACUUAUUUUCUUCUCUGCUCUCCGGCUUUCUGUCUCUGGCUGCAUCAUUAUUCUUUAUUGACUAUUUCAUAAACUCACAUUCCCUCAGCUUGGUUAAGGAAGGCAGUCUUUAAUCUUGGCGGAGCAGAUAAGGACAAUUAAAUCCUGGGCCUGCUUCCUGACACAGAUGACGGGGCUGCCUUCCUGGAACAUCAUCUUCAUGUCAUGGGUUCUGCUGUCACUUAUUUUGUUCAGAAUGUGUCAGGACAGCUAGCAUGACCUCAGCAUUCCCCUCAGGCUGGUGCUUCUUUAAUGCUGAAUAAAAUGUUCUCCUGGACUCUUUCAGGGUGGAUUUGAGACCCAGCCCUGUGGGCUGAAGGAGGAUGGGUGCAGGUCUGUGAAUCUCUUCUUAAUCUUUCAGCUAGAAAUAACUACUCCUUUCUGUGGUCCUUUUGCAAUUUACUCAUGGCUUCUUUUCUUUUCUUUUACUUCUUUUAUUUUCUUUUAUGAUUGUUCUUACAAUAGCCUGCUUUGAUCUCCACUACGUCUGGUUAUUGGAGAAUACAUCAACUGUUUUGUUGACUCAGCAAUACUUAAUCAAUUCUAAUUUCAGCACUAUUUCUUUUGAAAAUUCCUCUCACCUACUUUUGCCAGUAUAGUAAGGCUAUCAGUUUCAGCAGUAGGUUUCUUUGAUCUCCAGAACAGGUUUAGGAUCCAGGUUUGGCCCAUCAUAGUACACCAUUAUUUUGGCUUCAGUGAUUGGCUCCUCAGUGAAAUCAUGAUCCUAAAGUUGACCAAUCAGAGGUUUUUCCUGGGGAUUUUUAUAUAUGGAUACUGGGGACAGAUGGUAUUUUUUUCCUCUUGUAGUGCAAGCUGAAAGAAUGUGGUUACAAAUCUAAUUAUGGUGAUGCCCUUUAACUUAUGGAUGGGCAUAAGGGAGUGAGGCCAAAAUGCAACUUUAAGCCAAGCGAGAGAUAGAGAGAUGGAGACUGCUAGUCGGGAUGCUGUUUGAAUCCCUGAAUGCAGUCUUUCCUGAGACUAAAUUAUAUUUAGUCUUUUAACCGUAACUGCUAAAAGUAAUUUUUUACUUUUAAACUUAGAAUAUAAGUUCAAAGAGUGAAAGCAGAGAUUUUUCUUUACAUUUUCACUGCUAUAAUUCCAAAUGCCUAGAACAGUGCCUGUCACAUAGUAGGCAGUCAAUUAAUAUUUGCUUAAUGAAUAUUUGCAACUGAAUGAAACAGGAUAAUCAGAGUAUGCAUGUCUUCCUAACUGUUUUAAGGGAUUCUUGGGAAAAAAACCCAGGGAGCAAUUAUCAUAGAGUUGUUGGAAUUAAAGCUAGUUUGUGGGACUGUCCUGAGAAUUUAUUGUUAUUGAAAUUUUUUUAAAUUUUGAAGUGUAACACACAGAAAAGUGCAUAAAGCACAAAUAAGCAGUGUAAUGGGAUUAUUUAUAAAGUGGACCCAUGACCACUAGGUAGUUCAAGAAAUAGAAGGCUUCCAGCCUUCCAGAAGCUUCUCGUAUUUCCCAUCUGGAAUAUUUCCCUCUGUACCAGCCAGAGGUAAACAACAUGCUGAAUUUUAUGGUAAUCACUUCAUUGCUUUGUUUUAUAAUUGUAGCCCCACUAUAUGCAUCACAGGACAAUGCUAUUUAGUUUUGAA
rnacentral:lncRNA from 10 species